AAGCAAAUGUGACUUUAUUUGUUGGAAAUGCUUUUAAACUCUGUAAAGAUGAAAAUGUCAUGGGAUCAGUGUGGUUGGGCAACAAAAUAGACAAGAGUCGUGAGACAGUGGAAGCUACUUCACAGUCAAAUGUCCACCGUACAUACAGGCAGGUUCAGUUAUUCAUGUUUUAUUUAUGUUUUUUACCAGUUAGUGUUUCUGGUUCACAGCCUGUGUAAUAAUAAUAACUGAUUUUAACGAUCGUGCCUUUUCAAUACAGAGGACUAGAAGGAUUAACACACAAUUCAUUCAGAGUGAAGGAAGGCGUUGAAGAGACAUCGCCUGUGGCGUCCCCAGUCUAAGAUCAUGCAUGCCCACGGAUAAUCAUCUUUAGUCAAUAGGCUUCCCCUGGUGUAACAUUAAUUAAACCAGCGAAUCCAUACAGUUCAUUUGUAAAACAGAGUAAAGCCUAUAGUAAACACCAUGUUCUGAGUAUCUGUCACAGCUGACUUUUCUUUUCAUCCUUUCUCAGCCUAAGCUGAUGAAUCUUAAAACCAUCACCGCGGCCUCUUCGUUUGCUCAGCCACGUGUUACACACAGGUAGACGGAGCACAGAUCCCCAGUGUUUACUGGGUCCAGUCUGGGAGACUCUGCGCGUGAGUGACGCCAUCCCUGGGACCACAGAAACGCCAUUAUCAGCACGCGCUGACAUCACUCGGCAGCACAGCGCCCGCGCACGCCGCUCACACACCACCACCGCCGUCUCAUUGUGUUUGUAGCUCGGCCCAUUGUCUGCGCGAGGGCCCCGCGGACAAUGUCGCCAAUCUCUCUCCCAACUCUGAUCCAACGCUGCCAUUGUGACUCGUCUUUUUCCCACUUGACCAGACGUUGAUGGUGUUGCCGUGUGAUGAGAGGGGAUGAGGGGGGGGGGUGAAGUGGAUUCACUGCCUGGCACAGAAUCCUGAGCAGAGACGAGAAUGAGCGACGUAAACAGCGCGGGGAUGUCAGCAUCAUCAUCGACCACCGCAGCCGGUGCGACCCGGUGGAAAAGCCCCUGCUGCUCCACGGCCGGCUCCACGCUCACAGUUAAGAUCCGAACCCUCACAGAAGCUGGAGCCGAUCAAAUCUGGACCAAUCUGGCGAUUUAUUGCUUCUCCUCCAUGAAACAGCAACUACAAGCAGCCGUGGGAUGAUUCAUUCGCUACUACUGUACUGGUUUGACUGAAGCUGCCUGAAAAUGGAUAACCAGCAACAGCUGAUUUAACACCAACUACAUUCGAAUGUUUAAAUGGUCACAGUGCUGGAGAUGCAGACCUUCUACUACACCAUGCACGGGCCCCCGGGCCCGGGCCCGUACGCGGCCCCCGGCCCGGUGCAGAGGCGCGUCCUGGAGGAGCAGGUGGAGCUGUGGUGGUUCCGGGAGCCGCGGCGCUCCCUGCUGUGCUACUGCGCCUCGGUGACGCUCAUAGUGGGGCUGGGGCUGGGCGGCGUGGGCCUCCUCUCCACCGCCACCAGCCUGUCUGGGGAGUGGCGCCUGUGGGUGGGCACCACCCUCUGCCUCCUGGCCCUCGCCGUGCUGCUCAAGCAGCUCCUCAGCUCCGCCGUGCAGGACAUGAACUGCGUGCGCAGCCGGCACCGCAUCGAGCAGCUGAGGAGCGGCGGGAGGGCCGACCCGGCGCUGAUGCUGGCCGUGGGGCUGGCGGUGGCGCUGUGCGGGGCGGUGCUGGUGUGCGUGGCGGCGGCGGCGGGCGGGCGAGGCGGCGACGCCGGGGACAUGCUGGGCUCGGGCCUGGCGCUGAUGGCGGCGGGGGCGGCCACGGCUCUGGCUGUGGUGGGCUACGGCGCGCUGGUCCUGAGGCGGGGGGGGGGCGGGGCCAGGAGGCCGGGGGUCUUCAGCGUCUCAGAGCGACCGAUGAGCCAGGCCAGGAGGGAGGCCUCCUCCAGCAGAACCAGCCUCAUCUGAGACCCGGAGACUCAGCCACGGGAUGAUCACGUCCCCCCGCGUGAGACUCAUAGGAAGACAAUAACACACGCAUAAGGAAUUUCAAUUUAUGAAAUGAUCCGCCUGGAUGUAGUUGUCCUCGAUGAAGCCGUCGUCGUCCUCCUCCAGGCCGCCGUUGGUGCCCCCCACCACGUCCAUCCUCCCGGACACGCUGCUGGGGAAGGGGCCGUCGUCCGGGCCGCACUGGCUGACCCCGUCGGACUCCUGCAGCAGCGAGUGCCUGUAGCUGGCCAGGAAGCGGUGGAAGAGGCGAAACUUGACCGCCGCCACGAUGAGGAGGGAGAGGCUGAGCACCGUGCCCAGGCUCGCAGCCAAAUAGGACCACUCCAGGGGCUUCGGGCGCUGGUCGGCGAUAGCUGCCCCUGGAAAAGAACGAGAAAAUGCCCGUGAAGCGCCUCAAAGUGAAGCGGGGUAGAGUUCACGCACGCGGGCCGGGGUCACUCACUUCCUGCUUCGCUGCUGUUACUGCUGCCCUGGUCUCCGUCCAUGAGCAGGCGUCUCUGUGAGACCUCCUGCUGUCCUCCACUUACGAUGGCGGCUGCACAAAGGAGGAGCGUCACCAGGAGGCUGCAGCUCCACCAAGUCAUGGCUGUGCCCUGAGGAGAGGCCUUGAGGAGAGAAAAGCUCUGCUCACUAAUAAAACAUGCAUUGUCUUCCAGCCUUAUUAUCUGUCAGGGCUGUAGCUACAGAAAACACCCACUUGAUUUAAUGACAGCUUGAACACGAAACUCUGAUUAUUUCUGUGACCUUUAAAUGCAGCGCUAGUUAUAAAUGGAUGUUUUCCCAACCUGUGUUGUUCAUACAGUACAGUACAUACGAAUGUGUGAACCGGUGAUUUCCGGCUGAUGAGACGCCGCCUACUGUACGUGGGUUUCAUUUUAUGGCCAGUCAACUAUUAACCCGUGUCUUGUGAUUUUACCAAACUCAAAGCUAAGGCUGGAAAAUCAGUGGGGUCACAUAAUCUGAAGACUUAAAUCGUGUUGGGAUUUGAACCUUCUAUUGAUCCAGUUUGGUUUCAUUAUUUAGAACCCACACUUCCUUUAUCGUCUGUGAAUUUGGCCUAAAAAUGACUUGAUUUCUUCAUAUAAUAUUGUUUGAUGAUCCUAAUCCUGUUGAGUGCUGUAGUCGUAGCAUUUAUAUUAUUAUACUCUAUAUUUACUGUAUAUUUAAAUACACCGGAAGGUUGUGAAGACCAAACCUGCGUGAUUGGAACUUGCAGUUAAAUCCAGUUUACAAGUCCAACAAGUCCAAAUCCAGUUAUCAUUUACUUGAUGUAAGUUCUUCUGUAUGUUAUUUUAAAUACCUCUAUGUUAAUUAGCACAACACACAUUGACACAUACUAAGAUUAUAGUGCUAUAUUCAAAGGAGCUGCUGUGUCCAGUGUGGCUGUAACGUCCCUAUGUAUUUAGCCAUUUAGCUCAUAUGACAACCACACACUCAGCAUCAUCAACCUCCCGUAGGAAAGGUGUUCAUUUAUACAAUAAACAAACAAAUUUACCUGUUAAAUGAUGACCGUCUGGCUCGACCUGAAACUCUGAAACGCUGUUUAUUCUGUCUCGCUCUCAGCCACUGACACACGCAGAGACCUGCGGGGCAAAGGUCGCGCGGUGUGCAAUCAAACUGCGCCCUGCCCGUACCACAGAGAGGUUAUUGAGUAACUGUGACAGGUCUGCCUUCGAGCGUCCAUCUCUAAUUACUCACCCUCAUAACCGCAAGCACAAACAACAGUGGGAUUUUAACAGCUUCAAUAUUAUUCCCAUAAAUUCUGAACUGAGAUAUUUAUAUUUAAAAAAUUCAGAUGACCUAAAGCAUCCAAGGCAGUUUUCUUAAAACAUUUACAUCUAAUAUGUGGAAAGGAGCAAGACUAAAACUGUCUUUAAUGUUCAAGAGGGACAUUUUAAUGUAAUUGAACUAAGCUUUAAAUAAAAAGUGUUGUCAGUUG